rnacentral:rRNA from 1 species
AGCGAACGCUGGCGGCAGGCCUAACACAUGCAAGUCGAACGAAGUCUUCGGACUUAGUGGCGGACGGGUGAGUAACACGUGGGAACGUGCCUUUAGGUUCGGAAUAACUCAGGGAAACCUGUGCUAAUACCGAAUGUGCCCUUCGGGGGAAAGAUUUAUCGCCUUUAGAGCGGCCCGCGUCUGAUUAGCUAGUUGGUGAGGUAAGGGCUCACCAAGGCGACGAUCAGUAGCUGGUCUGAGAGGAUGAUCAGCCACAUUGGGAGUGAGACACGGCCCAAACUCCUACGGGAGGCAGCAGUGGGGAAUCUUGCGCAAUGGGCGAAAGCCUGACGCAGCCAUGCCGCGUGAAUGAUGAAGGUCUUAGGAUUGUAAAAUUCUUUCACCGGGGACGAUAAUGACGGUACCCGGAGAAGAAGCCCCGGCUAACUUCGUGCCAGCCGCCGCGGUAA